UACGUAGGGUGCGAGCGUUAAUCGGAAUUACUGGGCGUAAAGCGUGCGUCGGCGGUUCGUUAAGUUCGUUGUGAAAGCCCCGGGCUCAACCUGGGAAUGGCAAUGGAAACUGGCGGGCUUGAGUAUGGCAGAGGGGGGUGGAAUUCCGCGUGUAGCAGUGAAAUGCGUAGAGAUGCGGAGGAACACCGAUGGCGAAGGCAGCCCCCUGGGCCAAUACUGACGCUCAGGCACGAAAGCGUGGGGAGCAAACAGG
rnacentral:rRNA from 1 species